AGAGGGAUGUGGAAGCAACAAUUGCUCCAGGAGGCCCGCUCCUGGAGAGACAGGAACCGAGCCAGCAGCCUACUAAGGCUGAUGUUAGGAGGAGCUGAUACAGCGUGGAUUCCAGGCGUCACACCUAGAGAUCCUGAUUCUAGGCCUGGUGGAGACUAGAGAAUCUGCACUUUUAAAAAGCCCCUCUCCCCUGGGCCCAGGAGUUGCAGGAAACCAGCUCAAGGCCUUCCAUCUUGUCCUGGAGAUCUGCUUUGAGUUUAGAAGUUAUGAAGGUUGACAUGGGGAGCUGGAUCAAAUAAGAUUCCUUAAGAGGAAGCUCUUUGCAACUGUCAAGUGCCAUGCAAAUGUCCGCUAUUCCUAAGCCUGGACCCACAGCUCCGUCCUGGGAGUUCAGGGUCUUUGCAUUAUGCAUGUUGCUGGCUCAACAGGCCCAGACUCCAGCUUGUUCUUUGAUGCAGACCAGGUAUCCUACUGGGUUUUGUUUGCAUCUGCUCUUCUGCCAUUUUUCUUUGAGAAAGAAGCAAUGUUGGAACAUGACGUAAGGUAUUUAUUUAUCCAAUGGCUAUGGACUGAACGUGGAGCAGAGAAAACCAAGGUGACCAUGAAUCAAGGUUCAGUUGACACUUCGCUCGUAAAGGAAGCUGUUUGUCGGUUUAAGCCCUAUGAGUUAAUUACUGGCUUCAGUUUUCGAACCAUAGGCUGAAUUGGAGUGUCUUUAAAGACUCAGGUCAUGAAAUGAACACCCUGAACUUACAUGUGGCUUUAAUUCACCAAGCUCCUCAGCUGAAAUAAACGAUUAGCCUUGGCAAUGGG
rnacentral:lncRNA from 1 species